rnacentral:lncRNA from 1 species
AAAAAUUAACUUCCAUGAAUCCUACUGGGAAUUUGUUUCAUAACAAAAAUUUCACAACGCACUGUGCUGACUUCCUUGUGAAACGGGUUGUUUCUGAGUGUGCAGGGAAGUGGCGGGAGGCUUGGGGGUUUGUCCUGGCUUCUGUACCCCUCAGCGCCCAAGGCAGGGAAGUGGCGGGAGGCUCGGGGGGUUGUCCUGGCUUCUGUACCCCUCAGCGCCCAAGGCAGGUGUUGCAGGAAGCCCGUUCAUGAGGUGGGUGUGGGUGGUGCCAGCCAGGUCUGGGGACACCAGCGUCAGCUGCCCCAGGCCUCUGUGCAACCCCCACAGUCGCACCCUUUUGCGGUAACCCACAUUACUGGGCACUCGGGAAGGCUGUUUUCUUUCCCAGGAGCCCUAAGGACAGAUGCCGCAGGGCUUGGAGUUGUACCCCGUAGCCUCUCAGAGGUCCAGAAAGGUCCAGGCCUCUUCCAAUUUUUUUGAGGUUCUUCUUCUCUUAAAAAAUAAAAUGGGGAAAUUCCAUACCAGGGUUAUAAAA